rnacentral:rRNA from 1 species
GGACCCGCACAAGCGGUGGAGCAUGUGGUUUAAUUCGAUGCAACGCGAAGAACCUUACCUGGUCUUGACAUCCUGCGAACUUUCUAGAGAUAGAUUGGUGCCUUCGGGAACGCAGUGACAGGUGCUGCACGGCUGUCGUCAGCUCGUGUUGUGAAAUGUUGGUUAAGUCCCGCAACGAGCGCAACCCCUAUUGAUAGUUACCAUCAUUAAGUUGGGUACUCUAUUGAGACUGCCGCUGACAAGGCGGAGGAAGGUGGGGACGACGUCAAGUCAUCAUGGCCCUUACGACCAGGGCUACACACGUGCUACAAUGGUAAGGACAAUGAGCUGCGAUCCUGCGAAGGCUAG